rnacentral:rRNA from 1 species
UACGGAGGGUGCGAGCGUUGUCCGGAAUCACUGGGCGUAAAGGGCGCGUAGGCGGCCUGAUAAGUAGGGGGUGAAAUCCUGCGGCUUAACCGCAGGGCUGCCUUCUAAACUGUCAGGCUGGAGCACAGUAGAGGCAGGUGGAAUUCCCGGUGUAGCGGUGGAAUGCGUAGAGAUCGGGAAGAACAUCAGUGGCGAAGGCGGCCAGCUGGACCGACCCUGACGCUGAGGCGCGAAGGCGUGGGGAGCGAACGGG